rnacentral:tRNA from 1 species
GGAUUUAGCUCAGUGGUAGAGCACUUGCCUAGUAAGCACAAGGGCCUGGGUUCGGUUCUCAGCUCCG